rnacentral:rRNA from 1 species
GUGGGGAAUAUUGGACAAUGGGCGCAAGCCUGAUCUAGCCAUGCCGCGUGAGCGAUGAAGGCCUUAGGGUUGUAAAGCUCUUUCAGCUGGGAAGAUAAUGACGGUACCAGCAGAAGAAGCCCCGGCUAACUCCGUGCCAGCAGCCGCGGUAAUACGGAGGGGGCUAGCGUUGUUCGGAAUUACUGGGCGUAAAGCGCACGUAGGCGGAUCAGAAAGUCAGAGGUGAAAUCCCAGGGCUCAACCUUGGAACUGCCUUUGAAACUCCUGAUCUUGAGGUCGAGAGAGGUGAGUGGAAUUCCGAGUGUAGAGGUGAAAUUCGUAGAUAUUCGGAGGAACACCAGUGGCGAAGGCGGCUCACUGGCUCGAUACUGACGCUGAGGUGCGAAAGCGUGGGGAGCAAACAGGAUUAGAUACCCCGGUAGUCC